rnacentral:rRNA from 1 species
GACGAACGCUGGCGGCGUGCUUAACACAUGCAAGUCGAACGGAAAGGCCCUGCUUUUGUGGGGUGCUCGAGUGGCGAACGGGUGAGUAACACGUGAGUAACCUGCCCUUGACUUUGGGAUAACGUCAGGAAACUGGGGCUAAUACCGGAUAGGAGCUCCUGCUGCAUGGUGGGGGUUGGAAAGUUUCGGCGGUUGGGGAUGGACUCGCGGCUUAUCAGCUUGGUGGUGGGGUAGUGGCUUACCAAGGCUUUGACGGGUAGCCGGCCUGAGAGGGUGACCGGCCACAUUGGGACUGAGAUACGGCCCAGACUCCUACGGGAGGCAGCAGUGGGGAAUAUUGCACACUGGGCGGAAGCCUGAUGCAGCAACGCCGCGUGCGGGAUGACGGCCUUCGGGUUGUAAACCGCUUUCGCCUGUGACGAAGCGUGAGUGACGGUAAUGGGUAAAGAAGCACCGGCUAACUACGUG